UUUGUGGCUCACAAUCCCUUUUCCUCGCUGACGUGUCCUCCCCUACCCACCUUCUUCUUUAAACUCCUCUCUCCCACCCCAUAUAUUUCCUUCACUUUGCGUCAGAUCUCCUUGACACAACACCCAAAUCAUCGGAUUAUACUCUUAGGUUUUUGGCCUUUUGUUGUGAUUCUGAGUUUUUGAGGCUGGGAAAGUGGAACUGUAAUGCCGGAAGUGAGCAAAGACCCCGCGAUAAAGCUGUUUGGGAAGACUAUCCAGUUGCCGGAUGCUCCGGCGCCGGCGCCGCCGACGGAGAUGGAUGUUGACCCCGGCGGGGGAGCAGCUUCAUCUCCUCCACCUGCUGAUGAAUUCUCAGCUAAAGAUAGUUCUUGUUCAGAAGCUGAUGGCGGAGAGGAUGAACAACUCCAAAAGAAUGAGAAUGGAGAAAGUGAAGAGGAUGAAGGAACAGUGUUAUUGGAAGGGGAAGAGAUUAUGGAUGAGAGUGUAGAUGAAAUGAGGGAUGGCUUAAAAGCACCACCUGUUGAUGAAGAUGGUGGUGGAGCAACUGAAAUUUCAACAACUGAGGAAGAGGGGAAAAUGAGUAAUGGAAAAGAUAAGACUCUGAAAAAACCAGACAAGAUAAUUCCAUGUCCUAGGUGUGAUAGUAUGGACACAAAGUUCUGUUAUUUCAACAACUACAACGUGAACCAGCCGCGCCACUUCUGCAAGAAAUGCCAGAGAUAUUGGACGUCGGGUGGGAUGACGAGGAAUUUGCCUGUGGGUGCUGGGCGCAGAAAAAGUAAGAACUCGGCUGCUCAUUAUCACCAUUUGAAUGCUGUGAAGUCGUUUCAGAGUGCUCGUGUAGAUCAUCCCGAGAGAAUCCAACACCAUGCUCUUAAGGCCAAUGGCAAGGUUCUCACGUUGGCCUCUGAUUCGCCCCUCUGUGACUCUGUGGCCUCAGCGUUGAACAUUGCAGAGAAAACUGCAGGGAAUGGGUUUUACAAGCCAGUAGAGUUAGGAAUCCCGGUUUCAUAUGGAGCUGGGGAUAAUGGAGCUGACCAUUCAAGUGGUUCCUCAUCACUCACUGCUGCAAGUACAAAGGAUGAUGUUUGCAAAAAUGGGUUGCCCGACAUGCUAAGACAGAACUACCAUGGCUUCGCUCCUCAGUUACCAUGCUUUCCAGGUCCUCCUUGGCCAUAUCCAUCCAAUGCUGUUCAGUGGAGCUCUGCAGUUCCUCCACCCGGUUGCUUUUCUCCCGGCUUUCCCAUGCCAUUUUACCCCCCGGCAAUGUAUUUGGGUUAUACCAUUCCAUGCUCUUGGAAUUCCCCUUGGGUGAACAGACCUGUUGUGCCCCAACAGCACACGUCUUCUGGCCCUAAUUCUCCAACCUUAGGGAAGCACUCAAGGGAUGACACCGUGGUGAAACCAGCCAACAGCAAGGAAGGUGAGCCACCCAAAGAUAGUAAUCCAGAGAAGUGUCUGUGGGUUCCUAAAACUUUGCGGUUUGAUGAUCCAGAAGACGCUGCAAAGAGUUCCAUAUGGGCGACGCUGGGAAUAAAACAUGAUAGAGUUGAUUCGAUUAGGGGUGGCGCUUUUAAGGCCUUCAAGUUGAAGGAUGACGAGAAGAGUCAUGCUUCAAAGAACUGUAGAGUAUUAGAAGCCAAUCCAGCUGCAUUAUCCAGGUCAUUGAACUUCCACGAGAGCUCAUAAGCAGGGAACCUGGACUUAGCAAUAUGCUGAUUGCAGUGGCAAUUCCUUGUGGCUGAUCAUUCUUGCAACAGAAUUCUAAUCGGCGAGCAAUCUUGGGUUAUGACUUUACGAUCAUAUAAUAUUUUCUCGAAGAUCAGACAACUAGAUGCGGAUUUCCAACUUUUUGUUCUGAGAAAGGAGAGGUUCUAUUCCAUAGGGGAUAUAAUCAAAAAGGUUUCACCGCAUGGUCUCUUGCAACAUAUUCAUUUGCCAUAUAUACUCCCAGAUGAGCAGAGGAUUGGCUUGUUGGCAGCAACCGGAGGAUGCCCGAGGUUGGGCAGAGACGCGGAGGAGCCACAACGAAGGUUUUAUCACGGUAAAAUGGUUCAAUUUGACUUCUAUCUAUCAAGGAAAAAUCAUCAUUUUUUAGAUACAAGAAAUAUUGAUCGAACAAAUUUGGACUAAAAAAACCAUUUGACUUCUAUCUAUCUAGGAAAAAUCAUCAUUUUUUAGAUACAAGAAACAUUGAUCGAACAAAUUUGGACUAAAAACAGGUAACACCGGAAAUGUAUAGUAGCCUAAGAUGCACCUCUCAUAGAGACAUGUUUGAUAUCAAGCUAAACAUUGUGUGAUUUUGUUACUCAACACAUCAGAAAAGUUUUGCCUUAGUAUGAAAUUAAUGAUGCUUUAUUAGCUUCUUCUGGCGUAACAUGGAACCUACUUUGAGCUUUGAGUAUGGAUCAGAAAACUUAUUUUCUAAACCCGUAGGAGUAAUAUAACAUACACACGAGGAGGCAAUAUUGUAUGUAACAUUGGGAUUGAGAACUAAAAGUCAACAGUUUCAUAAAUAGUUGUUGCUUUUCUUGCUAAAAAAAUAUGAUAUUUGAGUGUGUCUGUAAGCUGUCCAGCCUGUAGUUAGAUAUUUUAGCUGUUUAAUAAGCACUUCCACCUCUGUCUUCCCUAAUAUUCUGAUGGGGCAGAUAGAAAGGUUACAGACUUACAGUGUAAUCUCAGUUUGAUUAAAGAAAUCCCCAUCAACCGACCAAAUUUAAUCCCGGAUUUUUUAAUGUGUAAAUUAAUGGAAGAAAGAACCCUGAUCUGAUUUGUUAUAGACAUGCAUUAGUUCUUGGGAAAGCACACCAGAAACCAGAACUCUCUGGUCUGUACUUCCCAGAAGUUUACAAAAGCCAAGUAAAGUAACCUCUCACCCACUUCCAAGAAUUCCAAGAAUUCCAAGAAAAUCAUUCAUGGGGAGACCCUUUAUGCUUUGGGUUCUUUUUGUGGCAGCUUUUCUUAUGAUCUCUUUCUCUCCUGGUAAUUCUCUUCUUCGUCUUCUUCCAUUUUCCGAUUUUGACAGUAAUUGCAGUUUGCUUAUUAAGGAACAGAUCUUAGUAUAUUAUACCUCUGUUUACCAUCUGUGUUAGGAUUUGGAAGGAAGAUGAUGGGGCCAUUGGAUCAUGCAAACUCUGCUGCUGUUUCAUUUCAGGAGAAAUGGGUAGUGUAUCAGAGAGAUUAUGAGCAAGCUGGGCCGAACGUCCACUCCCAACCUGCUCUUCUUUCUCCUCCUCCUCCUUCGUCUCCUCCUCUGGCAUCACCGCCAUCACUGCAAUACUAAACCAUUCCCAAGCGUAGUAUGUUGUUGUCUGAUAAGGAGUUACUGUUUUGUUUCUGGUCUGUAAUGUGCAGUCUGCAACUGAAUAGAUAGACAUGUUUAUGUUAAGUGUGAAGGAUGAGAUGGUGAACAUGUUCCAGAUCUGUUAGGCUUUAUAUUGUAUGGCAAUUAUUGUCAAGAAUUACUUGCUUACAUUGUGAUGUCUUGUAAAGAAUAAAACUUUCAGUUGUUGUACCCAAAUGAACCAAGCCCACAAGGCCCAACAAUAAAUCUCUCUUAUUUUAUGUA